CGUCAGGCCGCCACGCAGUCACUAUUCUCCCGGCGCCCCACGGGGCAGCACGUACUGCGCAGACUCCGCGCUGUGGCCGGCCGCCAAUGCGCCCAGAGGAGGUGGGCUGAGAACGAGUGGCGCGUCCCUGAGGGGGCCUAGGUCGGCUGGGCAGCCGUCGAGUACCACGAGGCGCGCGGGGACCCGUGGCUAUGGUGCCCACUGGGAGGCUCGGGAGUGUGAGGCCGCGGGGCCGCAGCCGCCCACCGCGCCUCUCCCCGCCCCGCGUUCCGCCGCCAGUCGUCGUGCUGCAAGCCGGGCCAAGCGUCUUGAAGGAGGCGUGAGCCUAACAAAACGUGCGGCGCUCAACUGCGGACUAAAUCAAAUGUUGCAGAAAAGCGAGAGGGAAAAACACCACAGAAGGGAGUAG
ensembl:lncRNA